GUGGCAGCAGCCGCGGUAAUACGUAGGUCACAAGCGUUAUCCGGAAUUAUUGGGCGUAAAGGGUGCGUAGGCGGCUAUUUAAGUUUAAGGUUAAAGUUCAGAGCUCAACUCUGUGAUGCCUUAGAAACUGGGUAGCUAGAGUACAGGAGAGGUGAGUGGAAUUCCAUGUGUAGCGGUAAAAUGCGUAGAGAUAUGGAGGAACACCAGUGGCGAAGGCGGCUCACUGGCCUGUAACUGACGCUGAGGCACGAAAGCGUGGGGAGCAAACAGCAUUAGAUGCCCCGGUAGUCC
rnacentral:rRNA from 1 species